rnacentral:rRNA from 1 species
CGAGCGCACUCUUCGGAGUGAGCGGCGGACGGGUUAGUAACGCGUGGGAACGUGCCCUUCUCUAAGGAAUAGCCACUGGAAACGGUGAGUAAUACCUUAUACGCCCUUCGGGGGAAAGAUUUAUCGGAGAAGGAUCGGCCCGCGUUAGAUUAGAUAGUUGGUGGGGUAACGGCCUACCAAGUCUACGAUCUAUAGCUGGUUUUAGAGGAUGAUCAGCAACACUGGGACUGAGACACGGCCCAGACUCCUACGGGAGGCAGCAGUGGGGAAUCUUGGACAAUGGGCGCAAGCCUGAUCCAGCCAUGCCGCGUGAGUGAUGAAGGCCUUAGGGUCGUAAAGCUCUUUCGCCAGAGAUGAUAAUGACAGUAUCUGGUAAAGAAACCCCGGCUAACUCCGUGCCAGCAGCCGCGGUAAUACGGAGGGGGUUAGCGUUGUUCGGAAUUACUGGGCGUAAAGCGCACGUAGGCGGAUCAGAAAGUUGGGGGUGAAAUCCCAGGGCUCAACCCUGGAACUGCCUCCAAAACUCCUGGUCUUGAGUUCGAGAGAGGUGAGUGGAAUUCCGAGUGUAGAGGUGAAAUUCGUAGAUAUUCGGAGGAACACCAGUGGCGAAGGCGGCUCACUGGCUCGAUACUGACGCUGAGGUGCGAAAGUGUGGGGAGCAAACAGGAUUAGAUACCCUGGUAGUCCACACCGUAAACGAUGAAUGCCAGUCGUCAGCAA